CACGUAGGGGGCGAGCGUUGUCCGGAUUUAUUGGGCGUAAAGAGCUCGUAGGCGGCUUGGUAAGUCAGGUGUGAAAACUCCGAGCUCAACUCGGAGACGCCAUCUGAUACUGCCAUGGCUAGAGUCCGGUAGGGGAGUGCGGAAUUCCUGGUGUAGCGGUGAAAUGCACAGAUAUCAGGAGGAACACCGAUGGCGAAGGCAGCACUCUGGGCCGGUACUGACGCUGAGGAGCGAAAGCGUGGGUAGCAAA
rnacentral:rRNA from 1 species